AAAUUUAGGAUAACACUUAAACCAAGGGCCUUCAAAGCCCUAGACAAGAGAGCCGCCCUCUUAAUUUCU
rnacentral:tRNA from 1 species